rnacentral:rRNA from 1 species
AUGCCACAAGUUAACUGGAUGAAUCAUUCAAUUGUAUAUUACAUGCCUGAACAUUGUAUGAAUUCUAUUAUCUAUAGAUGGCUGGAAUUCUAUACACCGAAAUGUAACGUCAGUGUUACAAUGACUCACUUCAGUCUCAUAUUGGCGCUAUUCACCGGAACGGCCGAACCAGUGUGUUAUGGGCAGUACGUUUACUGUUUCCGAGUGACAUUUCAAUAG